rnacentral:rRNA from 1 species
GACGAACGCUGGCGGCGUGCCUAAUACAUGCAAGUAGAACGCACAGUUUAUACCGUAGCUUGCUACACCAUAGACUGUGAGUUGCGAACGGGUGAGUAACGCGUAGGUAACCUGCCUGGUAGCGGGGGAUAACUAUUGGAAACGAUAGCUAAUACCGCAUAAUAUUGAUUAUUGCAUGAUAAUUGAUUGAAAUAUGCUAUUGCAUCACUACCAGAUGGACCUGCGUUGUAUUAGCUAGUAGGUGAGGUAACGGCUCACCUAGGCGACGAUACAUAGCCGACCUGGGAGGGUGAUCGGCCACACUGGGACUGAGACACGGCCCAGACUCCUACGGGAGGCAGCAGUAGGGAAUCUUCGGCAAUAGACGAAAGUCUGACCGAGCAACGCCGCGGGAGUGAAGAAGGUUUUCGGAUCGUAAAGCUCUGUUGUAAGAGAAGAAAGGGUGUGAGAGUGGAAAGUUCACAAUGUGACGGUAUCUUAACAGAAAGGGACGGCUAACUACGUG